GGCUUAGGAUAAACGCUGGCGGCGUGCUUAACACAUGCAAGUCGAACGGAGUACUUCUCCCGAGACCGAGGAAGCUUGCUUCCAAAGAAUCAUUGAAGUACUUAGUGGCGGACGGGUGAGUAACGCGUGGGUAACCUGCCUCACACAGGGGGAUAACAGUUGGAAACGACUGUUAAUACCGCAUAAGCGCACAGUAUCGCAUGAUACAGUGUGAAAAACUCCGGUGGUGUGAGAUGGACCCGCGUCUGAUUAGCUAGUUGGUGAGGUAGCGGCCCACCAAGGCGACGAUCAGUAGCCGGCCUGAGAGGGUGUACGGCCACAUUGGGACUGAGACACGGCCCAAACUCCUACGGGAGGCAGCAGUGGGGAAUAUUGCACAAUGGGGGAAACCCUGAUGCAGCGAACGCCGCGUGAGUGAUGAAGUAUCUCGGUAUGUAAAGCUCUAUCAGCAGGGAAGAUAAUGACGGUACCUGACUAAGAAGCACCGGCUAAAUACGUGCCAGCCGCGGC
rnacentral:rRNA from 1 species